rnacentral:rRNA from 1 species
UUAAUUGAAGAGUUUGAUCAUGGCUCAGAUUGAACGCUGGCGGCAGGCCUAACACAUGCAAGUCGAGCGGCAGCACAGAGGAACUUGUUCCUUGGGUGGCGAGCGGCGGACGGGUGAGUAAUGCCUGGGAAAUUGCCCGGUAGAGGGGGGAUAACCAUUGGAAACGAUGGCUAAUACCGCAUAACCUCGCAAGAGCAAAGCAGGGGACCUUCGGGCCUUGCGCUACCGGAUAUGCCCAGGUGGGAUUAGCUAGUUGGUGAGG